GAUGAACGCUAGCGGCAGGCUUAAUACAUGCAAGUCGAACGGUAAGUGUAGUAGCAAUAUUAUACGAGAGUGACGUACGGGUGCGUAACACGUAUGCAACCUACCCUGUACAGGAGGAUAGCUCGGGGAAACUCGAAUUAACCCUCCAUAAUAUCAUUAGAUGGCAUCAUUUGAUGAUUAAAACUUUGGUGGUACAAGAUGGGCAUGCGUCUGAUUAGUUAGNGGUGCGGGUAAC
rnacentral:rRNA from 1 species